UAAUACGUAGGGUGCGAGCGUUAAUCGGAAUUACUGGGCGUAAAGCGUGCGCAGGCGGUUUUGUAAGACAGGCGUGAAAUCCCCGGGCUUAACCUGGGAACUGCGCUUGUGACUGCAAGGCUAGAGUACGGCAGAGGGGGGUAGAAUUCCACGUGUAGCAGUGAAAUGCGUAGAUAUGUGGAGGAAUACCGAUGGCGAAGGCAGCCCCCUGGGUCGAUACUGACGCUCAUGCACGAAAGCGUGGGGAGCAAACAGGAUUAGAUACCCUGGUAGUCCACGCCCUAAACGAUGUCAACUAGGUGUUGGGGAAGGAGACUUCUUUAGUACCGCAGCUAACGCGAUAAGUUGACCGCCUGGGGAGUACGGUCGCAAGAUUAAAACUUAAAGGAAUUGACGG
rnacentral:rRNA from 1 species